UGGGGAAUAUUGCACAAUGGGCGCAAGCCUGAUGCAGCCAUGCCGCGUGUGUGAAGAAGGCCUUCGGGUUGUAAAGCACUUUCAGCGAGGAGGAAGGUGGUGAACUUAAUACGUUCAUCAAUUGACGUUACUCGCAGAAGAAGCACCGGCUAACUCCGUGCCAGCAGCCGCGGUAAUACGGAGGGUGCAAGCGUUAAUCGGAAUUACUGGGCGUAAAGCGCACGCAGGCGGUUUGUUAAGUCAGAUGUGAAAUCCCCGGGCUCAACCUGGGAACUGCAUUUGAAACUGGCAAGCUAGAGUCUCGUAGAGGGGGGUAGAAUUCCAGGUGUAGCGGUGAAAUGCGUAGAGAUCUGGAGGAAUACCGGUGGCGAAGGCGGCCCCCUGGACGAAGACUGACGCUCAGGUGCGAAAGCGUGGGGCAGCAAACAGGAUUAGAUACCCUGGUAGUCCACGCUGUAAACGAUGUCGAUUUGGAGGUUGUGCCCUUGAGGCGUGGCUUCCGGAGCUAACGCGUUAAAUCGACCGCCUGGGGAGUACGGCCGCAAGGUUAAAACUCAAAUGAAUUGAC
rnacentral:rRNA from 1 species